GCUGUAAAGUUAGAAGAACAUUAGACAUAUUUUGGUUUUCAAACUGUAUUGAUUCAUCAGUUAGUCACAUUAGCACUUGGCUAACGUAUCCACCAUUAUUGUUUUGUUAAGUGUUUACAGUUUAGCAGCUAAACUUUAGC